rnacentral:rRNA from 1 species
UAAGAUGAGAGUUUGAUCCUGGCUCAUGACGAACGCUGGCGGCAUGCCUAAUACAUGCAAGUCGAACGAGUUCCCGUUGAUUGACGUGCUUGCACUGAUUUCAACAUUGGAACGAGUGGCGAACUGGUGAGUAACACGUGGAAAACCUGCCCAGAAGCAGGGGAUAACACUUGGAAACAGGUGCUAAUACCGUAUAACAACAAAAACCGCAUGGUUUUUGUUUGAAAGGUGGCUUCGGCUAUCACUUCUGGAUGGUUCCGCGGCGCAUUAGCUUGUUGGUGGGGUAACGGCUCACCAAGGCGAUGAUGCGUAGCCGACCUGAGAGGGUAAUCGGCCACAUUGGGACUGAGACACGGCCAAGACUCCUACGGGAGGGAGCAGUAGGGAAUCUUCCACAAUGGACGCAAGUCUGAUGGAGCAAUGCCGCGUGAGUGAAGAAGGGUUUCGGCUCGUAAAACUCUGUUGUUGAAGAAGAACGGGUGUCAGAGUAACUGUUGACAUCGUGACGGUAUUCAACCAGAAAGCCACGGCUAACUACGUGCCAGCAGCCGCGGUAAUACGUAGGUGGCAAGCGUUGUCCGGAUUUAUUGGGCGUAAAGCGAGCGCAGGCGGAAGAAUAAGUCUGAUGUGAAAGCCCUCGGCUUAACCGAGGAACUGCAUCGGAAACUGUUUUUCUUGAGUGCAGAAGAGGAGAGUGGAACUCCAUGUGUAGCGGUGGAAUGCGUAGAUAUAUGGAAGAACACCAGUGGCGAAGGCGGCUCUCUGGUCUGCAACUGACGCUGAGGCUCGAAAGCAUGGGUAGCGAACAGGAUUAGAUACCC